UACAGAGGGUGCAAGCGUUAAUCGGAAUUACUGGGCGUAAAGCGUGCGCAGGCGGUUAUGUAAGACAGUUGUGAAAUCCCCGGGCUCAACCUGGGAACUGCAUCUGUGACUGCAUAGCUAGAGUACGGUAGAGGGGGAUGGAAUUCCACGUGUAGCAGUGAAAUGCGUAGAGAUGUGGAGGAACACCGAUGGCGAAGGCAGCCCCCUGGGUCAAGAUUGACGCUCAUGCACGAAAGCGUGGGGAGCAAACAGG
rnacentral:rRNA from 1 species